rnacentral:rRNA from 1 species
GAUUAGCCAUGCGAGUCUAAAGGUUUCUUCGGAAGCCUUGGCGGACUGCUCAGUAACACGUGGAUAACCUGCCCUUAGGUCUGGCAUAACCCCGGGAAACUGGGGAUAAUACCGGAUAGAUCAGGGGUCGCUGGAAUGCGCCCUGAUCCAAAGCUCCGGCGCCUAAGGAUGGGUCUGCGACCUAUCAGGUUGUAGUGGGUGUAAUGUACCUACUAGCCGACGACGGGUACAGGUUGUGAGAGCAAGAGCCCGGAGAUGGAUUCUGAGACACGAAUCCAGGCCCCACGGGGUGCAGCAGGCGCGAAACCUUUACAAUGUGCGAAAGCAUGAUAAGGGAACUCCGAGUGCCAGCAUUAAAUGUUGGCUGUCCUUGUGCCUAAAACGCACAAGAUAGCAAGGGCCGGGUAAGACCGGUGCCAGCCGCCGCGGUAACACCGGCGGCCCGAGUGGUAGUCGCUAUUAUUGGGUCUAAAGGGUCCGUAGCCGGUUUGAUAAGUCCUCUGGGAAAUCUGAUUGCUCAACAAUCAGGCUGCCAAGGGAUACUGUCAAACUUGAGACCGGGAGAGGUAAGAGGUACUUCAAGGGUAGGAGUGAAAUCUUAUAAUCCUUGGGGGACCGUCUGUGGCGAAGGCGUCUUACCAGAACGGGUCUGACGGUGAGGGACGAAAGCUGGGGGCGCGAACCGGAUUAGAUACCCGGGUAGUCCCAGCCGUAAACGAUGCUCGCUAUGUGUCAGAUACGGUGCGACCGUAUCUGGUGCCGUAGGGAAGCCGUGAAGCGAGCCACCUGGGAAGUACGGCCGCAAGGCUGAAACUAAAGGAAUUGGCGGGGAGCACUACAACGGUGAGC